UACUGUUUACUUCAUUGUUGUAU
rnacentral:piRNA from 1 species